CUCUGUAUCAAAUGCUCAAGCGAAAGUGAUAGCGCAGCAGAUUUCGCUAUAAAAUUCAGAAUAUCAUCAAAAGAAAGAGCAAAAGUUUCUCUUUGUGAAACCAGUAGUCAAUAAAAGUGUUCACAUUCCAGUAAAAUUAAAAAAAAGCAUUUUCGAGUAUAUUUUUUAUAAAAUGAGUACACAUAGGAAAGUGUGUAGAAUUGUUGUGCCGCCUCACUCUCUCAAUAUUUCAAACUCGUUAAUUAAAAAUAUUAAUAUUCUAAGUAGCUAAAAAAAUAUAAUUUAACGCUAUGCUUUAAACUAAUUCUUUAUUCCAAGCAUUUCGUCGUGCCGAACUCAAAUCAAUCAGUUGAGAGCAAGUUUCGCUGUGGAGAUGAUGUACCUAUCAAGAAUUAUACUUGUAGAGAUAGAGAAUACGACAGUUGCAUAGCGUCACUUUUUUGGAGUGCAUUUGAUAGAAAAAUACAUUGUUCGUGACGUCAUGAACUAAAAAAGAAAAGGGAAACCGAAGAACUUUCGUAUAUACGUGAAAAUAUUAAAAGAGAUGAUUAAACUAUUCAUUGAUACUACAACAGGGGAAUUAUUUCCGAUCCCAUUGUUACUGGAGAUGAAACCAUGGUACUAACAAUGCUCCUAGAAGCUAGCAUGAGUGUAUGUAAUAGCUGAAAAAGUAUACAGAUCCAACUUAGCAAAAUGAUUAGGUUUUACUUGUUUUUAAAUCUGAAAUUUGCUCAAACAUCUAUGUAACUAAAAUCCAUAAAAUCCAUCAGCAAGCGUUCUGAAAUUUUCCAAAAAA